CGCAAGCGACUCGCAUGCAAUAGGCAGUAAACACCGACGUUGUGAAUGAAUGAAGAAACUACCACAAAGAGGAAACGAGGCACUUUUGUCCCUGCGUGUCAUUCUAACUGUGGGACUGUGGGUUCUGAGGUUAUUGUCUCUGAAUAAGGAAAUGACUCAGAAGGGAAGUGUGGACAGACGGUGAAUGGCGAGUCUCAGGACCACGACUGUUUUGCUGCCAGUAGCAAGUUCCGGUUUCUUUUCUCCCGUGACUCAAUUGUUGUGAUGAGGAAGGGGCACCGUCAUGUCUGAGAGUCAUGCAAAUCAGCACCGUCAGAAUUCUGGCAGAUCCAGGAAGGACAGCCGGGAGCUUCAGUUUCCACGGGAGUGAUGAAUUUCUUCUCCAUGCAGAGGCAAUGCUAUCAGCUGGGAAACUCCGUUAGUUGUUUCUCUUUCCAAAAUCUACUGGGUGACAGCUAGAGAAAGCUUGUCCUCUGUCUUCUCAUAAUCAUUUCUGCCAGUAAUAAAAUCAACACUUUCGGUUUA